rnacentral:rRNA from 1 species
UACCAGCACCCCGAGUGGUCGGGACGAUUAUUGGGCCUAAAGCAUCCGUAGCCGGCCUUACAAGUCCCCCGUUAAAUCCAACUGCUUAACAGAUGGGCUGCGGAGGAUACUAUAAGACUAGGAGGCAGGAGAGGCAAGCGGUACUUUAUGGGUAGGGGUAAAAUCCGCUGAUCCAUAGAAGACCACCAGUGGCGAAGGCGGCUUGCCAGAGCGCGCUCGACGGUGAGGGAUGAAAGCUGGGGGAGCAAACCGG